CAGAAAAUAGUUUAUAUUAAAAUUUUAAUUUUGGAAAUUAAAGUAGGGAGAAUUUCUCUUUUCUGA